GCAAAAACUGUCGAUGCGUCUCGUAUAAUGUCGGGGAUAUGGCCCGAAAGUCUCUACCCAAAAACCUUGAAUUUUUGGACUACGAGUGAGCGUGGAUAGAAA
rnacentral:ncRNA from 2 species